CCUUCGGGUCGUAAAGCCCUGUCGGAAGGGACGAAAAACGAUUUGGCUAAUAUCCAAGUCGCUUGACGGUACCUUCAGAGGAAGCACCGGCUAACUACGUGC
rnacentral:rRNA from 1 species